rnacentral:rRNA from 1 species
AGUCACGAGUUUGAUCAUGGCUCAGAUUGAACGCUGGCGGCAUGCUUUACACAUGCAAGUCGAACGGCAGCGGGUCCUUCGGGAUGCCGGCGAGUGGCGAACGGGUGAGUAAUGCAUCGGAACGUACCCAGACGUGGGGGAUAACUACGCGAAAGCGUAGCUAAUACCGCAUACGCCCUGGAGGGGGAAAGCGGGGGAUCUUCGGACCUCGCGCGAUUGGAGCGGCCGAUGUCGGAUUAGCUAGUUGGUGGGGUAAAGGCCUACCAAGGCGACGAUCCGUAGCUGGUCUGAGAGGAUGAUCAGCCACACUGGAACUGAGACACGGUCCAGACUCCUACGGGAGGCAGCAGUGGGGAAUUUUGGACAAUGGGGGCAACCCUGAUCCAGCCAUUCCGCGUGAGUGAAGAAGGCCUUCGGGUUGUAAAGCUCUUUCAGCAGGAACGAAACGGUGGUCCCUAAUACGGACUACUAAUGACGGUACCUGAAGAAGAAGCACCGGCUAACUACGUG